UACGGGGGGGGCAAGCGUUGUUCGGAAUUACUGGGCAUAAAGGGCUCGUAGGCGGCCAACUAAGUCCGACGUGAAAUCCCAAGGCUUAACCUUGGAACUGCGUCGGAUACUGGAUGGCUUGAAUUCGGGAGAGGGAUGCAGAAUUCCAGGUGUAGCGGUGAAAUGCGUAGAUAUCUGGAGGAACACCGGUGGCGAAGGCGGCAUCCUGGACCAAUACUGACGCUGAGGAGCGAAAGCCAGGGGAGCAAACGGG
rnacentral:rRNA from 1 species